CAAGAUUAGACAAGUUUUGAAGAGCCAUAAGUGGCUCAGAUUGGUCACCCCUGGGCUCACAUAGUUGAAUUUUAAAUUUAAUGACAGAAAAUCAGCAAAGAUUUGACACCAAAGAUAUAAAUAUAUCUAACGGCAGAUGAUGAAAAUAUUACAUUCCUCUUAAAGAUCAACCUAAAGCCACCGUAUUAUGGAGAUCUACAUCUUGGUUUCUUACUCUGAAAUUGGGACUACUUGGAGAGCAAGAAUGGAAAGGUUCGAAAGUACAGAAUUCUUCACUCUGGCUACAUCUAUGCUCAAGCCAUCUCCAGAAAGACAUACAGAUAUACAAUUUGACCCCUUGUUUCAUCAUUCUACAUGUUUACAGUUUGAAAAAUAAUGUUUACUUUUUGUGCUCAGGAAAAGAAAUUCAGACUUUCUAAAAAAACCCAAAACACUAUAGGGGUAAGGAAAAUGUUUAAAUUGUAACAUGAAAGUGAUAACUUAAACCAAGGCUAUGAUUUAUUUAAUAAAUAUUUCUUGAGCUUC
rnacentral:lncRNA from 1 species